GGUUGGGUUGUAGCUGGCCUUCCAGGGCAUGUGCACGCCUAACACCAACCUUUUACCACCUGUGCACCUUUGGUAGACAUGGAUACCUCUCGAGGAAACUCGGUUUGAGGACUGUUGUGCGCGAGCCAGCUUUCCUUACACUUCCAGUCUAUGUUUUUAUAUAUGCCCCUAUUUGUAUGUCUAUAGAAUGUUAUUGAUGGGCUUCAGAUGCCUUUAAAAAUCUAUACAACUUUCAACAACGGAUCUCUUGGCUCUCGCAUCGAUGAAGAACGCAGCGAAAUGCGAUAAGUAAUGUGAAUUGCAGAAUUCAGUGAAUCAUCGAAUCUUUGAACGCACCUUGCGCUCCUUGGUAUUCCGAGGAGCAUGCCUGUUUGAGUGUCAUGAAAUUAUCAACCCUAUUCAGCUUUAUUGUUGAACUAGGCUUGGAUUUUGGGGGUUUGCGGGCUUCAAAAGUCAGCUCUCCUUAAAUGCAUUAGCGGGAUCUUUGUUACCUAGCUUUGGUGUGAUAAUUAUCUAUGCCGUUGCUUAAAGUAACUUGAAAUAGGAUCAUGCUUCAAA
rnacentral:misc_RNA from 1 species